GACAGAGGGUGCAAACGUUGUUCGGAAUUACUGGGCGUAAAGCGCGUGUAGGCGGUUUCGUAAGUCGGAUGUGAAAGCCCUCGGCUCAACCGGGGAAGUGCACCCGAAACUGCGGAACUAGAGUCUCGGAGAGGAUCGUGGAAUUCUCGGUGUAGAGGUGAAAUUCGUAGAUAUCGAGAGGAACACCGGUGGCGAAGGCGGCGAUCUGGACGGUGACUGACGCUGAGACGCGAAAAGCGUGGGGAGCAAACAGG
rnacentral:rRNA from 1 species